GAGGUGCAGUGUCCCCGGCCAUAGUGUCCACUCACCUGUGCCUCGUUUGGGCCGUGAGGACCAUGACUUGGCUUUGGCUUCGAGGAAACUGGUGACAAAGCGCCUGGCAUCCCGCUGGCUGAGUGUCCCUGCCCGUGUGUUGAGGGCGGCCUGCUGGGCAGGAGUCAGCCGGGGGCAGCGCUGCAGGUUCUGCAGCACAUGGGGGUCCGAGGCCACAAUGCUGGACGCGUCCAUGUCGCAUACCAGGACCCCAAGGAGCAGGAGGUCGGAAGCGCUGAGCCGAGUGGGCGGCCCUCCCUGCAGGACAGCAGAGCAGUCCAUACUUGGGUCAGCUGUGAAUCGAGGUGGCCCCUCUCACAGCCCAGGUUGGGGAGAGGCCAGCAGGCUAGAAGAUCGAACCCAGGGGCACCAAGUGCCAGAUGAAGGCCAGAUGGACAAGCCCUCACCCAACCAAGAACAGGAGGCUUAAGUCUGGGGCCACGGGCUAAGAAGUCCUGGAAAGGGGGCAAAGCGGACUGCACUGGAGAACCACACGAGGAGGGACCCCUGACCUCAGAGGGCAGGCUUCUGUCGCCUCAGCGUCAGCCUGAGAGGUGCUUCGUAGGUGGCUGUGGAGUUGGCAGGUUGGCUUAGAGACAACCAUGUGCAGUGUCUCCAGCACGGCCCCUUGCAAGCGAGCUGUCUGCGUCACAGCUGUAUAGUCCUGGACUUUGCUGGCCUGUGUCCUCUGCUGGGGACGCCCUCACUUCCUACCCAGCUCCAGAGCCUUCUCUCUUGAGCCUGCCCUUGCCCUCGGCACCCCAGCCUGAUAAACACCAACCGAGGCUGCUUACCUGCCAGGCUUUGAGGAGCACCUGCUGC